rnacentral:rRNA from 1 species
UACAAAACAUGGUCUUUUGUUUAUAUAAAAGAUUUAACCUGCCCUAUGAUUAGUUUUAAAUGGCUGCAGUAUUUUGACUGUACAAAGGUAGCAUAAUCAUUUGUCUCUUAAUUGGAGGCUAGUAUGAAUGGUUGGAUGAAAAAUAUACUUUCUUUAUUUUAUAAUAAAAAAAUUAACUUUUUAGUUAAAAGGCUAAUAUGUUAUUGUAGGACGAGAAGACCCUAUAGAACUUUAUUUUCUAUAUAUAUAAAUUUUAUAGAUUUUAUUAGAUUUAUAUAUAUAUGUUAAUUGUGUUGGGGUGACAGAAAAAAUAAUAUAACUUUUUCUAUUUUUUUCAUUUAUAUAUGUUGUUUUUGAUCCUAUAUUGUAGAUAAUAAGAUUAAGUUACCUUAGGGAUAACAGCGUUAUUUUCUUUGAGAGUUCUUAUCGAUAAGAAAGUUUGCGACCUCGAUGUUGGAUUAAAAUAAGUGACGGGAGUAUAAUAUCGUUUACUAGGUCUGUUCGACCUUUAAAUUUUUACAUGAUCUAGUUUCCACCCGGGA